GAUGAACGCUGGCGGCGUGCCUAAUACAUGCAAGUCGAGCGAACAGACGAGGAGCUUGCUCCUCUCACGUUAGCGGCGGACGGGUGAGUAACACGUGGAUAACCUACCUAUAAGACUGGGAUAACUUCGGGAAACCGGAGCUAAUACCGGAUAAUAUAUUGAACCGCAUGGUUCAAUAGUGAAAGACGGUUUUGCUGUCACUUAUAGAUGGAUCUGCGCCGCAUUAGCUAGUUGGUAAGGUAACGGCUUACCAAGGCAACGAGGCGUAGCCGACCUGAGAGAGUGAUCGGCGACACUGGAACUGAGACACGGUCCAGACUCCUACGGGAGGCAGCAGUAGGGAAUCUGCCGCAAUGGGCGAAAGCAUGACGGAGCAACGCCGCGUGAGUGAUGAAGGUCUUGGGAUCGUAAAACUCUGUUAUUAGGGAAGAACAAAUGUGUAAGUAACUAUGCACGUCUUGACGGUACCUAAUCAGAAAGCCACGGCUAACUACGUG
rnacentral:rRNA from 1 species